AGCAAUACUUCACUGGUAAGGUAUGGAUCCGAAGCCUCUUCAAGGUUAAAAUAGACUCUCCAAACCCCGCUUCGACUCAAUACGUCCCCGGCGUACAGAACGGUAACAUGUCUCUCCAAAUAUCUGAGCUUGGGAAUACGGGGAAACCUAACCCUUUUAGAAGGUGGAUGAUAUGCCUAAUUGAGCAGA
rnacentral:ribozyme from 1 species